rnacentral:rRNA from 1 species
UACGUAGGUGGCAAGCGUUAUCCGGAUUUAUUGGGCGUAAAGGGAACGCAGGCGGUCUUUUAAGUCUGAUGUGAAAGCCUUCGGCUUAACCGGAGUAGUGCAUUGGAAACUGGGAGACUUGAGUGCAGAAGAGGAGAGUGGAACUCCAUGUGUAGCGGUGAAAUGCGUAGAUAUAUGGAAGAACACCAGUGGCGAAAGCGGCUCUCUGGUCUGUAACUGACGCUGAGGUUCGAAAGCGAGGGUAGCAAACAGG